AUUUAAAAGCCCCAAACUAUUUCUAUCCGACUCUUAGACCUGUACGGACCUAAAUUGACCGACCAGUAAUAUUUGGAAAUUAUCUUUAAACACGUGAGCUAGAACGGUGAAGAUUAUAUUUUUCCAGUUAGGUCAGUUUGUAUGUACCUUCGAUUAACUAAGUCACGUGCAGCUUGUGACUAACAGUUAAGGCGAAGCGUGUAUAAAACCCGCUGCUCAACGCGGGUGUUCCGUUGGGAACCCAAAAACGAUAGUGUACCCCAGUAUCCCCUUUACAACGUGCUUUCAUUUGGAAUUUCCACGCGGUAACACCACCCCCUGCUUUCCGUAGUGACGUCAAUCAUCGGCCAAAGCCAAUAACGGGCCUAAACGUCACGGUGGUGCGUUAGUCAAAGCGUGUGCGAAAACCAUCGGUACGAGUGAGACGCCAUCUAUCCGUUUGAGGCUGAAAUCAUCACUAGCGAAUUUUGAUCAGCAUCCGAAGCGAUACUCCGUACGCCAUUACACCGAACCCGUCCACGUGCGAGACGUCGUAAUUGUGAACGGAAAUUUGAAAUAGCCGUUGAUGACUGGCGGUGACACCGCGGGGGACACACAGCAAACCGUGUUCCGUAUUACGACGAAAAGCGGCCAACCAGAACUCGGAGGUAUCGUGACUUCCUGCCGGAAGAUCAGCCACCUGCCUGAGGCAGAAAACUAAGGUCAGACUAUUGCAUUAUAUUGUAUCUAGCUAUAAGAAAACGAAACAGAAUUAAGAAAAUCAGUUAGCGUGACGUCACCCCAAGUUAGGAAGCGAUAGGCCUAUGUAUUGAACGUUUAAACCAAUAUACGACGAUGAAACUAAAUCGCUCCUAGUAUUCUCCGCAAGGUUGACGAGUCGCUAGUUAUUGUUUGGAUAUUCAUAUUAGUCUUAUUUUUAGUUCAUCCGGUGUUUGAUGAUUGAGUCCGCCGUUAUUCUUAACCCUAAUAGUCCCAUUGGUUCAAAUUCGGUUCAUGAAGAAUUUUAGAUUUCGUUGCUCCACGGAAGGUAGAUCUGAUUGAUUUCGGGUGUUUGAGGAAGUCUAUUGUCCCGCCCUAAGAAAGAGCCUCAGCCG